CAUAUUUCUAAAAUUUGAAACAUAAAAAGAUAAUUUUUAAGACUACAACUUAACUAGAAAAGAAUUACCAAUUUUUCAUUACACUUUUUGCCUCUGCAAAACAAUCCUGUUAAUCUCUAAACAGGUUUAGAGUCAUGAGUCUUCAUCUACAUACAAACUAUUAACUAUGCAACAACUGCUAAGGUCCAAACAAAGCAAUGAUCAUCAGCUAAGUCGCCUUCAAAAACAGAAUGUUUUUCUCUCUAUUAUAUUUAGUUUAACAGAAUCCCUACAUAGAGUUAAGUAAAACCUGAAAAAUUUAGGAAAGGCACAGUGCUUUUUGUUUAUAAUGAGGACAUACUUCUUUGUCAUUUGACAAAAUCAAUUAAAUGGAGCUAUGAAAUAUAAGCCUUAAUAAUAAAAAGUAUGGUGAAGAAUGAAUUUGAAGAUUUUAAAUCCUUUUCCCACUGAGCUGCUAUUGUUCCAAGCACUCUUGGAACUUCUCUUAAAAAUGAUUUAUCACCUAUCUACUACAUUUGAAAUCUCAUUAAACCACAAUAAAAUAAAAAAAUUUUUUUGAAUUAAAAAAAUUUAAACCACAUUCAAAAUGACUUCUGGCUAUAAAAUGAAGUAAAUAAUUCAUCAAUAGAUAAUAAUAAAGUUAAUCCUCCUGCCAAAAGUGAAUACAGUAAUGUGCCAAAUAACGAUGUUUCACUCAGUGAUUGUAAUGCCAUAUUUCUACUGUACCUUUUCUAUGUUUAGAUAUAUGUAGAUACACAAAUACUUACCAUUGUGUUACAACUGCCUGCAGUAUUCAUUACAGUAACAUGCUGUACAGGCUUAUAGCCUAGCAGCAAUAAGCUAUACCAUUUAGGUUUGUUUGAGUACACUCUGUGAUGUUCACAAAACAAACUUGUCUAACGAUGCAUUUUUCAGAACGUAUUCUUGUCAUUAAGCAAUGAAUGACUAUAUGUGCCAACAACAACAACAACAACAAAAGGAGAUAAAGAAUAUGAGGGCAGGGUGUGGCUCACACCUGUAAACCCAGCACACCGGGAAGCCUAGGGAGGUGGAAUGCUUGAGCCCAGGAGUUUGAGACCAGCCUGGGUUCAAGCAAUUGCCUGGCUAUUUUUUUUGGUGGGGGUGUAUUUUUUUUGUAGAGAACUGCUUGAGCCCAGGAGUUCAAGAACAGCCUGGGCAACACAGCAAGACCCCAUCUUCCACAAAAAGAAAAAAAAGGUAGAAAUAAAAACGAAAGGCUAGCCUUCAAGUGCAAGUUGUUUUGAUCCUCUGAGUGGUUGCAGAACUCUGUCAUAGUCAAGUUAAAUCAAAUAUCACAAAUCACGUUGCAAAAUAAUUGUAUCCAUUUUCCACCUCAUGUUGCAAUUAAAUCCGUCUUCAUACCCACGAGCAUCUAUACAAUAUGAAAAUAUAAGAAGGCUUCGAAAUGUUCCAUGGAUAGCAUAAAUAAUAGGUGUUAUAGAUAACAAUCAGGCCAAAAAUAACAACUGAAAUGAAUACACUGCAUGGAAAAAUGUCACAAAUACCACAGGGUUUCAGAAAAUGAAGGUAAUAAAUGGAAGGUAAAAAUAAAAAAAUACAAUCAACAUCAAGAAAAAGGUCUUUCAGCUUGAAACGAAUAGAAAAAGUAUAAGAAAACAUAGCUGUUUAUGUGCCAGGAAUGCAUGUUCAUUAUCAUCUUAUUAAAACCACUUACGCUGCCUACUUCCUCAUUUACUGAAAUAUCAACUAAAGGAAGCCCUCAACUUUGCUUUUCAAAGUGGAAAUGAACUCAUUCUUUAAUGAUAGGUCCUCCUUCAAAAAUAUUUGUCAACUGCAAAAGAAUGGUGACAAGGAAAAAAUAAAAAUGGCUGCAAACAUACUAUAUCUCACUAUGAUGUGUAAAUAUAAUAGAAGAGAAUGCUCUGCUUUUUUUUUUGUUUGUUUCCUGAGGUCUAUUUGAUGACUUAAAUUUCUAUACUGGAAAAGGGACAAAAACAAAGCAAAUCAAUGAAACAGAAUAUAAAAUGUUUAAAACUUGAAACUACAGUACAAAUUAGUAAUGCUAUAAAAUAUUCGGGACAACUGCCACUAUGUUGCAAGUUUGCAAGACAGAAAAAUCAGCUCCCACUAGGUGUCUGUAGAAGGCCUCCAUGUAUCAGCACCUACAAAGAAUUCUUUUACUCAUAUAAAUUAAGUUCCACCAUCUAAUCAAAUCAUGGAUUUGAUUUCUAUUUGAAACAUUCUUCAAACUGACCGAGUGAGUCUAUUCCUUGGAUUUGUGAUCCCAACGCUGAUUUUAUUGGCAGAAUGAUUAAAUAAUUAGUAACAGUUUUAAGACAUCAAGUAAACAUGGAGUUAGGCAACUGUUUCAUACAGACAAAUAAUUUUAUCUAAAGAGAAUGAAGGCCGGGUGCAGUGGCUCACACCUGUAAUCCCAGCACUUUGGGAGGCUGAGGUGGGCAGAUCAUGAGGUUGGGAGUUCGAGACCAGCCUGGCCAACAUGGCAAAACCCCGUCUCUACUAAAAAUACAAAAGUUAGCCAGGCGUGGUGGUGCAUGCCUGUAGUCCCAGCUAUUCAAGAGGCUGAGGCACAAGAAUCACUUGAACCUGGGAGGCAGAGGCUGCAGUGAACCAAGAUCGUGCCACUACACUCCAGCCUGGGCAACAGAGUGAGACUGCCUCCAAAAAAAAAAAAAGAAGAAGAAAAAGAAAAUGAGAAAGUACUAUCAGAAUGACAGAAUCACUGAGAAUAUUUCAAUACUGCCACUUGCACAGCUACCGCUGCCUCAAAGAACCAAUUAAUGAAAGAACAUUAGCCAAAAGGGAAAUAUAAUUUUAUGCCAUGUUUACUCAGCUUUAUAUGUAAGCAAUCAAAAUAAUCAUAUUUAAAUUUCAUACAAAUUUAUAUGCGUCCUAUAAACACACAUUUAGUGAUGUAAAGUUUUGUGGAAUAAAUUCAGAAUUAAAAUAUUCCCUUUUUGGGCAUGGGGAAAAAUAAGCCUACGUAUAAUUUCAGUGAAAAAGAAUGAGAUAGAACCAAGUGAAACAAGAUAUGGAUAAGGUAAAACGUAGAUAUGAUGGGUAAGUUUAUGACAAACUGGCUCAUUUUCAGUCUACUCAUUUAAAAGAUGUACCUUAUAUUUUAAUUUUAACCAAUUUCACGUGAAUGUCAAAACUGUCACGAUUUUACAACUUCUCCCAAAUUUUCCUUCUACAUAUAGGAAGUAUAUUUCAUUUGGUACAUUUGGACCAAUCAAGUAGACCACAUGGGAAGGUAAUCAAGAAAGAAUGGCUUGAUGUACCUGCUGCUGCAAAUCUAAUUUAGGAAAUGGCGCCCCAAGAUAUAGGCUGCAUAUUAUCUACUUUCCUAGCCACAUUCAAAUACAAUAUAAACUUUAGUCUGUGACAUCGCACAGUAAAGAAAUUACCUUUAUAUUUACUAACCUCUAACUGAAAUUUAACAUUCUCUUUCACUCUGAUUGGAGGCAACAAACUUACUUCAUUAGUUUAAUAGGGCCUAUGACUGUCAAAAAUAAAAAUUCCCAAUUUUUAUAUCAUUCUUAGUAUCCCUUAAUAUAUCAAUUACAUUCAACUUUACUUCAAAAUUAUAGUUAUUAACCACUGGAUUUUAUUCCUAAAUACAUUAAAAUAAAGCAGCACAUUUCAAAAAUUUAAAAAAUAUUUUGGUAACUGUAUUUUGAUAUAAUUGGUUGUCUUUGUAAUCAUAGGUAUUUUAUGCAUUUAAUAACAUUCUGAGAAUGAAUCUGUCCUUAUUACCAAAGGAAUCCAAAGCACUGAAAUAGUGAAGAACCUUGAUUAGAAGAAGUGGCAAUAAAACUCAAACAAUGACAUAAUAUUGUAAUAUUUAUUAUACUAAAUAAGAUAAUUUCAAGUAAAAAUUACAAUUCAUUUAUUCAAUAAAACCUGGAAAUCAUCUCUUCAUAUUGCAAGAUUUGUCUGUGCAGAGAAAAAACGGUUUAAAAAUGUAUAUACCAUCAUGUUUUACUUUUCUCUAUUACUGUUUAAUUUACAAUUUUUCUUUUAGCAGACUUAUUCUAACUUUGUAAUUUAAGGAUUUUUUUCUAAUUGACAACAGAUGCUAAAAAUAGUGGGUGAAAAGUUUGCUUAACUUAAACAGAUACAGAGGGAAAAAUAGCAACUUUACCCUGGAGAAACCUGACAGACAUCCCCUUAAACAAGUUAACACACAAUAAUGGAAAACAUAGACAUCAUGUGCUUCCUGAUGUGCACGAAGAGGGACACAACACCGCUUAUGAGGUAUUCAUGCCAAAAAUGCAUUACCUCAAUCUAAUCUUGAGGAACUAUCAAACAAACACGAAUUGAGGGAUGCUCUCCAAAGUGGUAUUCAAAAUGUCAAGUCAUAAAAGACAAACAAAAACUAGGGAACUAUUUAGAUUAAAGCAGAGGUAACUUCCACUCCCAACUAACAGAAAUUAGAUUUAAACCUCCCACCCACCUUUAACAACUAGAAAAUUAGACACACACACAAAAAAACAAUGGUUUUCAAACUCUACACACAAGGUAGCACAGAACUGUAUACCUAACAAAAGGGAAACAAAUCAAGUGAGUCCUGUGGCUGCCAAAGCUUGAGGCCUAGAAGUAGCUGGGGGAAGGGGAGGUUAACAGAGCCUACUUACUAGUUUCACUGAGUUGAGGAAACACAAGUCUUUCAAGGCAGCUAGAAUUUGGGAAACAGAGUACUGAUGAUGAUGGAGCUGCACAAAAAAGCUCUGAUCUUAAAAAUACAUCUACCGACGUAUUUUGGCUGAAAACUGAUCUGUGAUCUUAAAACUACAUCUACAGACAUAUUUUGGCUGAAAACUGAUCUGUGCAUUCAUGAGAAGAAAGCACCUGUGGCCAGAGAAAGAACCCCAGAACCACAAGAAAGCAUUAGGCUAACAAUUCCCAAAGAACACACAUGGCCAGGAGUACUCUGUAUUGCUACCUGUUCAAGAGUAGGAUGACCUUGUAAUACGGGGGAUGAUUCAGAUCUCUCCAGGUAUCACCGCGGUAGUAUGAAUAAAUAGCCCCAGGCUAAAGUUUGCUCUACCAAAGUCUUUUCAAAAACUUAAAAGCAAGCCUCAAAAGGAUCCAAAUAAUUCGAGGUUAAUUUGACAGGAUGCCAGAACAAAGUCCAACAAAACAUUUAAAAUAAUACAACAAAAUCCAGCAACCAAUAAUGUGAAAUUCACAAUAUUCUGAAUCAAACUUAAAAAUGACAGGCAUUUUGUCAAAAAAAAAAAAAAAAGCAGGAAAACAUGACUCAUUACCCAGAAGAAGAAAAAAAAAGAAAAUCAAACUAUAGAAACAGAUCUAGAAAUGGCAGAUAUGAAAACAGUAAGGCCGGGCGCAGUGGCUCACGCCUGUAAUUCCAGCACUUUGGGAGGCCGAGGCAGGCGGAUCAUGAGGUCAGGAGAUCGAGACCAUCCUGGCUAACACGGUGAAACCCCGCCUCUACUAAAAAUACAAAAAAUUAGCCGGGCAUGGUGGCGGGCACCUGCAGUCCCAGCUACUAGGGAGGCUGAGGCAGGAGAAUGGCGUUAACCUGGAAGGCAGAGCUUGCAGUGAGCAGAGAUCACGCCACUGCACUCCAGCCUGGGUGACAGAGCAAGGCUCCAUCUCAAAAAAAAAAAAAGUAAACAGUAGGCAAAGAUGUUAAAAGAACUAUUAUAAAUAUGCUAAUAUAUUAAAAUAUUAGUAGAGGAAAACAUGAACAUAAUUAGGCAGGAAAUAGAAGAUACAAAAGAGACAAAUGGAACUUUUAGAGACGAAAAACAUAACAUCUGAAAAAAUAUGCUGCAUGGUAUUCACAGGUGAUUUUAAAAGAUCAGCAAACUUAAAGAUACAGCAAUAGAAACUUUCCAAAAUGGAGUACAGAAGGAAAAAAAGACUAGGGAAAAACAAUACAAAUACAAACCACAAUGCAAAAUAAAUACAAAACAGUACAAAAACAAUACAAAACAAUACCAAAAAACAAAAAACAAAAAACAAGCCUCAGUGACUGUGGGAAAGUGGCAGGAAUUAUCUGGAAUUGGGGUCUCAGAAGAAGAGAGUUGGGAAAAGGCCUAAAAACUAUAUUUAAAGAAAUAAUGGGCCGGGCGCGGUGGCUCACGCCUGUAACGCCAACACUUGGGAGGCCGAGGCAGGUGGAUCACCUGAGGUCAGGAGCCUGACCGACAUGGAGAAACCCUAUCUCUACUAAAAAAAUACAAAAUUAGCCGGGUGUGGUGGUGCAUGACUGUAAUCCCAGCUACUUGGGAGGCUGAGGCAGGAGAAUCGCUUGAACCCAGGGGGCGGAGGUUGCGGUGAGCCGAGAUGGUGCCGUUGCACUCCAGCCUGGGCAACAAGAGCGAAACUCUGUCUCAAAAAAAAAAAAAAAAAGAAGAGGAAUAAUAAUAGCCUAUGAUCCUGUACUGGAUUCUAGACAAGAAAUAAUUGUUUUUCAUUUGCUGUAAGGGACAUUAACAGACAAAAUUUGAAUACGCUCUAUUGACUAACCUGACAAUAAUAGUUUACUGAUGUAAAUUUCAUUAUCUUGAUAACUGUACUACAGUUAAAAGUCUUCCUAAUUUUAAACACUUAUUACUCAUUACUAAUUCAUUUAUCUGGAUUAACAGGAACACAGACUUAGAAAUUUUUUUGAAAGAAAGGGUUUUUUUUUUAACUUUUCAGGUAGGCACAAAAGAGAGGAUUUUUAUAUCCCUUUAUUAAAUGCCUACUGUGUACAAGGUAUUGUGCACUAAAAAAAU
rnacentral:lncRNA from 1 species